GUGCAGCAGGCGAGAAACUUCACAAUGUGCGAAAGCACGAUGAGGGAAUCCCAAGUGCUUGCUCGUAAGAGUAAGCUGUUUCUCUGUCUAAAACGCAGAGAGAGUAAGGGCUGGGUAAGACGGGUGCCAGCCGCCGCGGUAAUACCUGCAGCUCGAGUGGUGGCCGCUAUUAUUGGGCCUAAAACGUCCGUAGCCGGUUUAUAAAUGCCUGGGUAAAUCGGACCGCUUAACGGUUCGAAUUCCGGGUAGACUGAUAAACUUGAGACCGGGAGAAGCUAGAGGUACUCCUGGGGUAGAGGUGAAAUUCUGUAAUCCGUAGGGGGACCACCAGUGGCGAAGGCGUCUAGCUAGAACGGGUCUGACGGUGAGGGACGAAGCCCUGGGGCG
rnacentral:rRNA from 1 species